rnacentral:misc_RNA from 1 species
UUAGACGCCAUUUUUGUGUUAGCGAAAGAGGGAUUCCCAAAGAUUGUAUCUACUGUAUCACAUCCUCCGGGAUGGGGGAGACAAAAAUCAUCUAUCACAUAGAUGAUGAAGACACUCCGUACCUUAUUAAACUGCCAGUGCCCGCUGAUCGGGUAACACUGGGCGACUUUAAGAAUGCCUUGAACAGGCCGAAUUUCAAAUUCUUUUUUAAGUCUAUGGACGAUGACUUUGGAGUUGUAAAAGAAGAAAUAAUUGACGAUGAAGCUCAUUUGCCAUGCUUUAAUGGGAGAGUGGUUUCUUGGCUGGUUCCAGCCGACAACAGUGCUUCAGACACGCAGUCGCAGUGCACAGACUCGCAGGCCGGGGACGUAGUGCAGCUUCCGUCUGAGCGUGUCGGCGGCAUCGGCGACAGUCGGCCUCCUUCCUUUCAUGCAAAUGCAUCUGUAGUCAGUAGAGAUGAAGCUUGUGACACGUGCACAGAAGCCGAUUCUGUCCUUGGUGCUAGACGAGACCGCCACACGCAAAGUCGCGUGUCUCACCACACAAACCCUAGUCAAAUGCGAGACCGGCAUAAUAAUGGUCCAAGAAUUAAUGGUCAUGCGAAACAUGACCGGCACAGGGACCUGCGGGUUCAGGGUCCAAACACGUACGAAACGUCCACAAUGGUGUCCAGUGACCUCGAGUCAACCAGCUUCUUUGACUCGGAAGAUGACAGUCGAUUUUCCACGGUAACAGACACCACAAGCAUGUCUUCUAAAUAUCACGGUCGUCAUCGAAGACGGAGAAGACGGCACCGGCCACCCCCAAUUAGUAGAGCAUCUUCUUUUAGCAGUAUAACAGAUUCUACGAUGUCUCUUAAUAUUAUUACAGUGACCUUAAAUAUGGAUACUGUGAACUUUCUAGGAAUCAGUAUUGUCGGCCAGAGCAACAAAGGCGGUGAUGGUGGUAUUUAUGUCGGGUCUAUAAUGAAAGGUGGGGCUGUUGCCCAGGACGGCCGGGUGGAGCCGGGAGACAUGAUUCUGGAGGUGAAUGGUAUCAGCUUUGAAAACAUGAGUAAUGAUGACGCGGUGCGCACAUUACGAGAGGCAGUCCAAAAGCCAGGUCCAAUCACGCUAGUAGUUGCAAAGUGCUGGGACCCCAACCCAAAAGGUUAUUUUACAGUUCCGAGACAGGAGCCGGUGCGACCCAUAGACCCGUCAGCAUGGGUGGCACACACGACGGCCAUGCGGGAACACUACAUGGGCCGCGGCGGCCCCAGCAUCGGAACGUCGCUCACCAACAUGACGUCCACCAGCUCCUCUUUAACUAGUUCUAUACCAGAGUCAGAACGAUUUGACGACCUAAAUCUUACUGUCAACACAGACAUGGUGACGGUUGUCAAGGCGAUGGCUCAGCCAGAUUCGGGAUUGGAAAUCCGGGACCGAAUGUGGUUAAAAAUUACAAUACCAAAUGCUUUUAUAGGUUCAGAUUUAGUAGACUGGUUAUUCACACAUGUGGACGGGUUUACUGAUCGGAGGGACGCGAGAAAAUAUGCAUGCAAUCUUUUAAAAGUGGGCUACAUCCGCCACACAGUCAAUAAACUCACAUUUUCAGAACAGUGCUACUACGUCUUCGGCGAUCUUGGUGGAAAUGGUCCUCCCCAAUAUCCAGAUCUAACAUCAUUAAGCCUCGAAGACGUGGAUUCGGUAUCGGAGGCGGACCGGGAUACGUUGGCACCACUGCCGCCCCCUACCUGGAACAACCAGUACCCUUACAGCAGUCUGAACUACCUGCCCCAGCAUCUCAACUACAUACCCCCUUACAAUUAUACCAGUACGGACAAUGCUAGUUUUGUGGGAUCGUUCGUGGACGGUGCCCCGGUGCCGACACCGAUGCCGAUGCCAGCGUCGUCUGGUAUCGGGGGCGGUAACGGCAGUGCUGGGAGUACGCACAGUGCUUCAGUUGCAUGCAGCAAUCGAAUGGCAAAGAAUGGGACAUCGUUUGCGUUUAAAGUGGCUUGAUUGUGGUGUUGUGCCUUCUUUUUGUGUUACUGUCUUCCAUCGUGUUAUCAAGUAGCAUGCACAUGCCUGUAUAUUCACCGCAUGCACACGGAAGUAGUGCGUCAGGUGGCAGUAAGAAGGAGAAGGACAAGCUGGACCGCAAGUCUUCGAGUCCUAUGGGCAGCGGUGGCAGCGACACCGACUCGGCAAGCAUCGCCAGUGCGAGACGAGUGCCCCC